UAGCUCAGUCGGUUGAGCAUGGUGCUGAUAACACCAAGGUCGCGGGUUCGAUUCCCAU
rnacentral:tRNA from 1 species